AGGCCUCAAGUCCAGAAUCUCACUCAAGGAAUCCCAGUCAUAUCAAGCAGUGGAUUAUACAAGGUGCCAAAGGUGUUUCCAUAAGAUCUUUUCAAUUAAGAUUAAAAUUGUGUGGCACGAGCCUUAAGAAAUAGGGAAUGCAUGAGAGUGGAUAAUUCCAUUAACUCAUUCUGAAUGGUUUUGGAUAUAGGAUGAAUCACCCAAUUACUCAUCGUAUUUAUCUCUAUUCAUAGACUUUA
rnacentral:lncRNA from 1 species